rnacentral:rRNA from 1 species
UGGGGAAUAUUGGACGAUGGGCGAAAGCCUGAUCCAGCCAUGCCGCGUGUGUGAAGAAGGUCUUCGGAUUGUAAAGCACUUUAAGUUGGGAGGAAGGGCAGUAAGUUAAUACCUUGCUGUUUUGACGUUACCGACAGAAUAAGCACCGGCUAACUCUGUGCCAGCAGCCGCGGUAAUACAGAGGGUGCAAGCGUUAAUCGGAAUUACUGGGCGUAAAGCGCGCGUAGGUGGUUUGUUAAGUUGGAUGUGAAAGCCCCGGGCUCAACCUGGGAACUGCAUCCAAAACUGGCAAGCUAGAGUACGGUAGAGGGUGGUGGAAUUUCCUGUGUAGCGGUGAAAUGCGUAGAUAUAGGAAGGAACACCAGUGGCGAAGGCGACCACCUGGACUGAUACUGACACUGAGGUGCGAAAGCGUGGGGAGCAAACA